AUGAACCCGUACAAGACCCUGAGGAAAUUCCUUCUCAGCCCUUUUGCUCCUUUCUGUCUCCCUGCCCGCAGCUCCCGCUGCCCUGAGCGCAGGAAAUGGAGACGAGAGGAGAAUGAAGAGCCCAGGGAGAGACGGGCGGGGCCCGGGGUCCGGGCGGCCGUGACCCUGCUGGAGUCCGGGGGGGACCUCCAGCCCCCCGGGGGGUCCCUGCGCCUCCUCUGCCGAGGGGACGAAUUCGUGUUCGGGAAUUUUGGGAUGGGCUGGAUGCGCCAGAGACCCGGGAAGGGGCUGGAAUUCCUUGCACGGAUCAGCAGCAGUGGUGGUUACACCGAGUACGCGCCAUCGGUGCGUGGCCGGUUCACCAUCAGCAGGGACAACGGGCAGAGCUCGGUGACGCUGAGCAUGAACAACCUCCAGGACGAGGAUUCCGGGGUUUAUUUCUGUGCCAAACGUUACAACAGUGCUAACGCUGAUACUGCUGCUGGUGUUGAGGGCGACCGUGGCCGUGUCUCC